rnacentral:rRNA from 1 species
AACGAACGCUGGCGGCAGGCCUAACACAUGCAAGUCGAGCGCGCCCUUCGGGGUGAGCGGCGGACGGGUGAGUAACGCGUGGGAACGUGCCCUUGUCUACGGAAUAGCCUCGGGAAACGGAGAGUAAUACCGUAUACGCCCUUUGGGGGAACGAUUUAUCGGAAAAGGAUCGGCCCGCGUUGGAUUAGGUAGUUGGUGGGGUAAUGGCCUUCCAAGCCGACGAUCCAUAGCUGGUUUGAGUGGAUGGUCAGCCACCCUGGGACUGAGACACGGCCCAGACCCCCACGGUAGGCAGCAGGGGUGACGCUUCGACACUGCGGGCAACCCUGAGCUCGCCAUGCCGCGUGAGUGAUGAAGGCCUGAGGAUUGUAAAGCUCUUUCAGCUGGGAAGAUAAUGCCGGUACCAGCAGAAGAAGCCCCGCCUACCUCCUG